AAUAUUGUACAAUGGGCGCAAGCAUGAUCCAGCCACGCCGCGUGAGUGAUGAAGGCCUUAGGGUUGUAAAGCUCUUUCACCGAUGAAGAUAAUGACGGUAGUCGGAGAAGAAGCUCCGGCUAACUUCGUGCCAGCAGCCGCGGUAAUACGAAGGGGGCUAGCGUUGUUCGGAUUUACUGGGCGUAAAGCGCACGUAGGCGGAUUGGUCAGUUAGAGGUGAAAACCCCAAGCUCAAAUUCGGAACUGCCUUUAAUACUGCCAGACUCGAGUCCGGAAGAGGUAAGUGGAACUCCUAGUGUAGAGGUGGAAUUCGUAGAUAUUAGGAAGAACACCAGUGGCGAAGGCGGCUUACUGGUCCGGAACUGACGCUGAGGUGCGAAAACGUGGGGAGCAAACA
rnacentral:rRNA from 1 species